rnacentral:rRNA from 1 species
UACGUAGGGUCCGAGCGUUGUCCGGAAUACUGGGCGUAAAGCGUGCGCAGGCGGUUAUGUAAGACAGAUGUGAAAUGCCCGGGCUUAACCUGGGAACUGCAUUUGUGACUGCAUGGCUAGAGUUUGGCAGAGGGGGGUAGAAUUCCACGUGUAGCAGUGAAAUGCGUAGAGAUGUGGAGGAACACCGAUGGCGAAGGCAGCCCCCUGGGUCAAGAUUGACGCUCAUGCACGAA